rnacentral:rRNA from 1 species
GAUGAACGCUGGCGGCGUGCCUAAUACAUGCAAGUCGAGCGAACGGACGAGAAGCUUGCUUCUCUGAUGUUAGCGGCGGACGGGUGAGUAACACGUGGAUAACCUACCUAUAAGACUGGGAUAACUUCGGGAAACCGGAGCUAAUACCGGAUAAUAUUUUGAACCGCAUGGUUCAAUAGUGAAAGACGGUCUUGCUGUCACUUAUAGAUGGAUCCGGGCUGCAUUAGCUAGUUGGUAAGGUAACGGCUUACCAAGGCAACGAUGCGUAGCCGACCUGACAGGGUGAUCGGCCACACUGGAACGGAGACACGGACCAGACUCCUACGGGAGGCAGCAGUAGGGAAUCUUCCGCAAUGGGCGAAAGCCUGACGGAGCAACGCCGCGUGAGUGAUGAAGGUCUUCGGAUCGUAAAACUCUGUUAUUAGGGAAGAACAUAUGUGUAAGUAACUGUGCACAGCUUGACGGUACCUAAUCAGAAAGCCACGGCUAACUACGUG